rnacentral:rRNA from 1 species
AUUGAACGCUGGCGGCAUGCUUUACACAUGCAAGUCGAACGGUAACAGGCCGCAAGGUGCUGACGAGUGGCGAACGGGUGAGUAAUGCAUCGGAACGUGCCCAGUCGUGGGGGAUAACGCAGCGAAAGCUGCGCUAAUACCGCAUACGAUCUGUGGAUGAAAGCGGGGGACCGUAAGGCCUCGCGCGAUUGGAGCGGCCGAUGUCAGAUUAGGUAGUUGGUGAGGUAAAGGCUCACCAAGCCAACGAUCUGUAGCUGGUCUGAGAGGACGACCAGCCACACUGGGACUGAGACACGGCCCAGACUCCUACGGGAGGCAGCAGUGGGGAAUUUUGGACAAUGGGCGCAAGCCUGAUCCAGCAAUGCCGCGUGCAGGAAGAAGGCCUUCGGGUUGUAAACUGCUUUUGUACGGAACGAAACGGCUCUCACUAAUACUGGGGGCUAAUGACGGUACCGUAAGAAUAAGCACCGGCUAACUACGUGCCAGCCGCCGCGGUAAUAC